GUGCUCACUUCGGCAGCACAUAUACUAAAAUUGGAAUGAUACAGAGAAGAUUAGCAUGGCCCCUGUGCAAGGAUGAUAUGCAAAUUCGUGAAGCAUUCCAUAUUAAA
rnacentral:snRNA from 1 species